CUUCCAGGAGACCAGAGGCACCUCUCUGCUGAGCCCAGGGCAGCCUGCUGAAGUGACUGCCUUCCAGGCACUUCCCAAGGGCUGGCAGUCCUGCUGCUCCCCUGGGCUGCCUUUCCCCCACCUUCCUGAAAGAUGCCUGUCACUUCCAGCCACCUCUGCUCUGCCCUGUGGCUGUGUCAUGGUUUACAAUCUCUGAUGCUUUUUCAGAGCUGUUGGAGCUCAGGGCAUGGUCCCCAGGUCAUAAAUGGUCCUUGCCCACCACAGCUGCCACUUGCAGUUUCUGGCUGAUGAGGUUCCUCUUUUUUGCUGCGUUUCCCCUGGAAGGAUGUUCAGUGGGAUUGAGGUGGAUUUCUCCGCCUCUUUCCCUCCAGCCAGUUCCCUUCAAAUACUUCUUGCAGCUCACUUGUGGGUUUUGGCCUUCUGGCUUUUUUAUGGAUGAAUUUAUGCAUUUGUUCUCAGGCUGUUUCAAUGUGCUUUGUUUAUUUGGGAGGUUGGCUGCACAGCCCACUCUUCGUUUUUUCCUGCUUUCAUGUUAUAUUGACUUCGUGCCUACAGCAUGAGCUACCCACAGCUGUGCUCUUCCACACAUGGUGGCUUUUCCCGUUCUUUGGGGUCAAAAUUUUUCUGUGUUGUUCACUGUAAGUCCCAGAGCCUGGUUACCUUCCAGCUUAAACAGAGAGUGGUCAUCACAUUCAGCUGCUUUCCCAACUCCUCUUAUGCUGAGACCUUUCUUGGUGCCAGCCACCAGCUGAGGUUUGCUUUGUUGUGGAUAUGAUCCUUGAGGACAUCAGGGAAAGUGUCCAAGGAACCCUUGCUCUUCAGCAUCCAGGAAACCAAUUUGAAAAGUGCCUUCAGAAAAGCCUCUUACUUAUUUUCUUUUAUGUGUCACUGCUGCCCAAAUGGACCAUGCCCAUGAGCUCCUCCCCAGCACUUCAACACUGUUUAGAGACCUCACAGCAGCCAGCAUCUUUGUCCUGGGCAGACAAGGUACCACAGUGUGUCCCUAUAUGUUGGUCAAGCCCCUGCAGGACACCUGAUCCCUUUGGGCCAGCACUUUUCUCAACCACACUGUUCCUGGAAGAGCCAUGUGUUGUCUUAGCCUUUGUCCCCCAAACAAGGCUGAGGUGCAGCAAGACACGCCAGCUGCUCUGGAGUAGAGCAUUUCCCUUCAGUACAGACAUCCCUCUGAAGCUGUCAUGAUUUUAGCUGUGAGAGCACCUUUUCUGGCACAGCCAUGUUUUCUCCCUCAUCACCACAACCUGCAGCCCCAGCCCAGAGGGGUGGGAAAGGUGUCCUGGUCUCAGGCACCAGGCCCAGGCUGGCCUCACAUCCAGCCCAGUCUCCAGACCCUGGGGACAGUGCCACAUCACUGGUACCUGGGCUGCUGCCACUCAUGUACUUGGCCUCGUGGUGGGCUGGGGUGGCCUCCUGCCUUGCAAGAUCUCCAGGAUUUGUGUGCUCCAGAUUCAAUGCUAAACCCCUCAAUUUUCAAAAUCCUUUGGGGCCCAGGCUGCCAGGCCUGCAUAUGUUAGUGACAUUAGCAGCUACUCUGUUCCCUUCUAGGUACAUCCCAGUGGUCCAGCUUGUGCCCUGCCACAGCUUUGCAACAAGUGCCCCUUAAUGUACUGCUUUCCCCUGAUGGUCCUUUCAUUCCUCCUGUGAGUUGCUUCCAGCAGAGCGACACCUACUCUCUGUCCCAUCGAGGUGCGUGAUGCCGCAUGUACCUGUGUUUGAAGCGAAGGUUUUUCAAUAGACACCAUCUUCUCAGAGGGCCAGCUUGCACCCCAAACAACAUUGUCACCAUUGCUUAGCUCUAUUCCCUCCGUUCUGUAUUUUUGACAAAUGGUUCCUUCCAUUGACUCCAUAUAUUCAUUCCUUGUUUCCCUGCUUGUCAUACCCAAUGUCUUGCUUCUCCAUUCUGAUGUCACCUCCCGUUAGGCAUUUUUGUGAUGUUAAAAAACUCUUCACUCAGAAAAUGUUCCCAGUUUGUUGUUUUGGUUUUUUUUAGUUGCCUUCCUGAGGGAUGUCCAUCAGUUCCAACCACUUCUCACACUCUGUGGCCAGGCUGUGGGGGCCACAAAGCUCUUUUGGAGCAGUUGAAGCUCUCAGCACAGUCCCCAGGCCACUGCCAGCCUUUCCUCAUUACAGCCACUGCUUGCUGUUCCUUGCUGACAAACUUUCUCUGCUUCCCACGGUUCCCCUUUGAGGAUGUUAACAUGACUGAUGGAUGUCUCCAUCUCUCUCCUAACAGCCUUUGAGUGCAUUGCUGUCACUCUCCAAAGGGACUUUUCGGUGCCAGUGGUGGGGUUGCAGCUGUCACAGGCAGAACAGGGCUAAGCUGAAGACGCUUUUCCACCCAGGUCUGGAGCCAGCAGCAGCCAGAGAGCAGCUAUGUGCCUGGGAACCCUGGUGUACCCUCUCUGGUUUCCUUCCAUUUUUUCCAUGAUACAGAUGCAUCCACAUACCUAUUCUGGCACCCUGGUUCCAGCAUCAUGUUUCAGAGAAGCAUGACUGUCACCUGCCUGCAUCAAUGAGUCCACACUCACCGUGGGACAUGUGAGCUAAACCUGGAUGCUAGUCCAGUGUCUCCAUUUGCCAGGGACAACAGAGGUGGGAUUUUUAUGUUCCUGGUGCCAGCCAAGAUGCCCCAGGGCAUUGGAUCCAACAGGGACCUACAGCCACUCUGCCAGCAGCUGGAUGCAAGGAGGGCUGCGAUUCCGCUGGCAUUCUGUCACUUGCACUUGUCCUUGCUCUCAGGUCUAUGCCUGGUUUUGCUAUUAGCCCGUCUCCAGAGAUCUUAGAGCUUCCCUGUCUUCCAAAAUACAUAUAUCUACAAUGAGCAUUUCAAACU